rnacentral:rRNA from 1 species
UCUGGAAACCAUAGAGCUGUGGCACCACCUGAUCCCAUUCCGAACUCAGAAGUGAAACACAGUAUCGCCGAUGGUAGUGUGGGGUUUCCCCAUGCGAGAGUAGGUCAUUUCCAGGC